rnacentral:rRNA from 1 species
GACACAUGAACAUCGACAUUUUGAACGCAUAUUGCGGUUUAUACUGACAAGUUUCUUAACUGAAGCUGUAUAGACCACACAUGGUUGAGGGUUGUAUUAUUAUGCCAAUUGAAUUUGUGUGUUUUUUUGUUUUUAAACAAAUAAACCUAAUAAUGAAGUGUUGUUAUGCUUAAGUGUUCAUAACAUCCUUUGAAAACAUUUGUUGUCUAUCAAUAUAUCAAUGAUAAUAAUUUAUUAUUAUUAUUAUUAUUAAAGAGAUAAAGAAACAAAUGCACUUUGAUCACACAUGCGAUUAUCAUUUUUACGAUUAAAGUAGCAACAUAUGAAAGUAUGAUAUGUUUUGAUAUUUGCAACAUACUUCAAUCGUACGUUAAAAUGAAAAUUAUGAUCAUUGAAUUGUAUAAUAACAAAAAAUAUAACCUCAGCUCAUGUGAGACUACCCCCUGAA